GGCCCCGAGGUGUCAUCAUGUCAGACUGCAAAUCUGAAGUCGGCCUUCUGCCCGGGGCUUC
rnacentral:tRNA from 1 species